rnacentral:rRNA from 1 species
CACGUAGGGUGCAAGCGUUGUCCGGAAUUAUUGGGCGUAAAGGGCUCGUAGGCGGUCCGUCACGUCGGGAGUGAAAACUCGGGGCUUAACCCCGAGCCUGCUUCCGAUACGGGCGGACUAGAGGUAGGUAGGGGAGAACGGAAUUCCUGGUGUAGCGGUGGAAUGCGCAGAUAUCAGGAGGAACACCGGUGGCGAAGGCGGUUCUCUGGGCCUUACCUGACGCUGAGGAGCGAAAGCGUGGGGAGCGAACAGG